CCUACGGGAGGCAGCAGUGGGGAAUAUUGCACAAUGGGGGAAACCCUGAUGCAGCGACGCCGCGUGAGCGAUGAAGUAUUUCGGUAUGUAAAGCUCUAUCAGCAGGGAAGAAGAUGACGGUACCUGACUAAGAAGCACCGGCUAACUACGUGCCAGCAGCCGCGGUAAUACGUAGGGGGCAAGCGUUAUCCGGAUUUACUGGGUGUAAAGGGAGCGUAGACGGCGAUGCAAGCCAGAUGUGAAAGCCAGGGGCUCAACCCCGGGACUGCAUUUGGAACUGUGUGGCGUGAGUGUCGGAGAGGCAGGCGGAAUUCCUAGUGUAGCGGUGAAAUGCGUAGAUAUUAGGAGGAACACCAGUGGCGAAGGCGGCCUGCUGGACGAUGACUGACGUUGAGGCUCGAAAGCGUGGGGAGCAAACAGGAUUAGAUACCCCGGUAGUC
rnacentral:rRNA from 1 species